CCUGUUAUUCUGUUACUCAUAUCUGGUUGACCUAGUGCCAGAUCUAAAUGCUUUCUGUUUAUAUUAUUGUUAAACCUUCAUUAUGCUAAUCCCAAGUUCUUGUCUGUAUUCUGGCCCUACUCUCAACAUACCAUACAUGACAGAAGGAACCAGUCAAUAUGUGGAUCAAGCAGACAGAUUAAAUAAGGACUUAUACAAAGACGUUAAGAUCCUGCCUUCUCGACUGUUGGUUGGGAGUGAGAGUCACAUUCUAUACUGCACCCAGUAUGGCUUUGAAGUCUGCACUCUCUCUGGACAAGCCAUCAGCCCAGCACCGAGGAUGACAGCAUCACCAUUUCACCUUGCAGUCAUAACCUAUAUCCGCCAACUUGCACUUCCUCCUGCAAGGCUGUAUGUUUUGGAUUUUUGACUCCUGGAGAUAGAUCUCCAACCUUGUGGAUUUAAGCCUGGGCUUCCCACCCACUUCGUCUUCUUGCAACUGGCUGGCAGCUUCCUGUCUGGAUCAACCACGGACCUCCUCAAGCAACCCCCGUCCACCCUCCGUCACAAUAGAACCACCACCAGGACCUCAGUGCCCAACAACGUGCCCAACAACGUGCCCAACAACGUGUGCCAAGUACCCACCAGCAAAAAUACACUCUUAAGAUUCACUUUACUUACCAGUUCUACUUACCUUGCAGUUUGUUUCCCGGUUCCGGCUCCUCCGGUACCAUCACGUUCCCUGUAAAUAAAAUCUUUGUCAAACUUUA